GUUUUUUAAGUCUUUAUUGAAUUUCUUAAAGCUCCCUGCCCAGGAAUCAAACCUGCACCCUUAGCAUUGGAAGGAAAAGUCGUAACCACUGGACCACCAGUGAUGUCCCUAAGGGCACUCUUCUGAUUAGCUCCUUGGGGCUGUCCCCUCAGUCUUUCUGCUCACUAGAAGAAAUUCCAUGAUAAAAAUGGAAUUUUUUAUCCAUUUGGGUCUUAAGCUGACCCAAAUUUUGAUCAACAACUACAAGGGAACCCUGCAAAACACUAGCUGUAGAGCUCACUGUGAAGACCAAGUGGGAGGAAAGGCAGCCCUGUGUUCCCCUCGUAAGUACUUGGUCACAUUAUUGAAGAAUGUUGGUUUUGAAACCUACUGUCAUAAUGAAACCAUUUUGAAAAUUAUGUGGGAAAAGUCAUAGCUUCUCCUUUUACAGCUCUGUGACUUCGGAUAUGCCACUCAAUUUCUUUGUACCUCAGUUUUCUCCUCUGUAGAUGAAGAUUGCCACAUCUUCAACUGCGUGCUGCUAAGCCGCUUCAGUCGUAUCUGACUCUGUGCGACCGCAUGGACUGUGGCCCGCCAGGCUCCUCUGUGCGUGGGAUUCUCCAGAACAGGGACGCCAUUCAGAUUUCAUCUGCUGACACACUUGGGCAUCCUUGGAGAAGCUGGGAGGCAAUGUAUGGAGCCAUCCACAUGGGGCUCAGCAGUUCCCUGGGCUUUCUCAUUCUCCCAUUUCCUGCCCUGCCUUCGCAAGUUUCUACAGAGUCGCAACCAGGAGAGACAGAACAGAGCAGAGAAAUACGGAAAGAAAAGGAACUGCUUAUCAAGAUAUCAUUUUUGAUUCCAAGCUUAAUCCAGUCUUACCUGACUUCCAUCCUCAUCACUCCACUAAAGCCAGUGUGCUCAGUGCUCAAUUGUGUCUGACUCUGCGACCCCCAUGGACUGUAGCCUGCCAGACUCCUCUGUCCAUGGAAUUUCCCAGGUAAGAAUACUGGAGUGGGUUGCCAUUUCCUCUUCCAGGGGAUCCUCCUGACCCAUAAAUUGAACCUGCGUCUUCUGUGUUUCUUGCAUUGGCAGGCAGAUUCUUUACCACUGAGCCAGCCUGGGAAGCCCCACUAAAACCAAAGCCCUCCUUGUAAUUAAAUGAAAUAAGCAUUUUCCAGUCUUUGUCUGUCUUGGUGGUCUUCCCCAGUGGCUCAGUGGUAAAGAAUCCACCUGCAAUGCAGGAGACAUGAGUUCAGUCCCUGGGUCAGGAAGAUCUCUUGGAGGAAGAAAUGGCAACCCACUCCAAUACUCUUGCCUGGGAUAUCCCAUGGAUAGAGGAGCCUGAGGGCUACAGUCUAUAGGGUUGCAAAGAGUCACACAUGACUGAACAUGCACAUGUGCAUCUCUCUUGAUAUCUCAGCAGCAUUUGAUACCACUUCCUUCUUGAAAUCAUGCUGACCUAUUAGACUCUAAGGUCUCAAAUGCUCCUGGUUCUCCUUCUGCCCUUCACCUACCUUCUGUGACAAUUCCUUGUUUUCCUCCCAUCCCAUCAGUGUUGUCCUAGUCUUCUUGUUCUUAUCUCUUGUCUCAAUGCCCUGUCUUAUUCAGUGAAAUAGUUUACUUCUAUGAUUUCAAUUGUGGUGCUAACGACUCUUACAUGUUCUUGCUACCCUGACUGGUAGACUCGCAGGUCUUCAUCUGUACUGCCCAUAGGCACCUCAAUUUCAAAAUGUCCGAAGUCUAUUUUAUCAUCUUUCCUAUGAACCUAGUUUCACAUUUUUUUAGUGUCAUCAUCACUGCCACCCUCUGCAUAGUUGCCCGGGCUUGUAACAUGAUCAUCAUCAUUGAUUCCAGAAUCUUCAGCUUCACCUUGCCUUUUCUCCUCCCUCAUAUAUAAUCAAUCAAUGGGCAUCAUGUUGACUCCUAAGUAUUUCUUGUAUCUUCCUGUUGCUUUUCUUCUCCACUUCAAGUUCUAAGUUUCACCCACCCUCAUGGACCUACCACUCCAGAUUCCUAUGUAAUACUAUUCUUUACAGCAUUGAACUUUACUUUCACCGCCAGACACAUCCACAAGUAAGCGUCGUUUCUGCUUAGGCCCAUCUGCUUCAUUCUUUGUGGAGCUAUUAGUGAUUGCCCUCUGCUCUUCCCCAGUAGCAUAUUGAACACCUUUCAGCCUGGGGGGCUCAUCUCCCAGUGUCAUAUAUUUCUGCCUUUUCAUACUGAUCCUGGGAUUUUCAAGGCAAGAAUAUUGGACUGGUUUGCCAUUGCCUCCUCCAGCGAUCACACUUUGUCAGAACUCUCCACUAUGACCCACCCAUCUUGGGUGGCCUGCAUGGCAUAGCCCAUAGCUUCACUGAGUUACUCAAGCCCCUUUGCCAUGACAGGGCUGUGAUCCUUUAAGGGGAAUUAGUGAUAUAAACAGGCACCAUUUUUAGAAAAUGUCUCCUCCAAUUGAUUGGAAAAUAAAGAUGCUAAAAAGGCAGUGCUUAGAUGAGUUCUAAUGCAACUCCAUGGGUCUUUGGGCACCUUUACAUGUAAAUGGCUCACUUGUAGAAAUGAUGGUGUGUGUUUGUGUGUGUGUGUGUGUGUGUGUGUGUGUGUGCAUGCUAUCGAACCCAGGUCUCACACUGCAGGCAGAUUCUUUACCAGCUGAACCACCAGGGAAGCCCUAGAAUCUGACAAACCUUGGUUUAUCCAGUUACCAAAGAA
ensembl:lncRNA